AUGGAGUUGUCUCAUGAAGUCUGGGUGAGAUGUUGUCUAUUGAAGUGCUUUAGUGUAUUGCAUGAUAUAAAAUUACAGCUCAAUAAAAAUGGAUCUUAUCAAAAUUUGAAAACCAAACUUCAUACUUUUAAGAGAGCAAUCGUUUCAUCUGAGCCUCACCACAAACCUUGUAUCCCUGGAAAACAGGAUGUCUUCUGUACCAAAAGAACACUGGAGAGAUACUUCCACAGCUAAGAGUCAGAGGUUACAAACGGAAUUGAAUAUUUUGAGAAGUUCUCAACCUCUCAUCUUACAUUUGGCCACGGAAUGCAUGCAGGAAACAAAACAACCAAACUGAAUGGAGAGCCCAGCCUAGAUGGGGCGCAUCAAGGGGAAUCCUGGCUGUCAGGAGGGUGACAGCUCCUGUGUCAGCCACACUGGUGUUGUGUGCGUAGCAGAAGGAAAGCAUACCCACACUGAACUGCAUCCCACGCAGCCCGCACCAACUCUGCCUGUCCAUGCACUGCCCGCCCACACCUGCAGUUAGCAUAUUCAUCAGUGUGCCUGGUGUUUCCUGGUGAUGGAAGGCCCUGAGGUGCUCCAUUUCAGAGGUAGGCUCUGCCACCUAUAGCUCUUCUUGAGCCCGUCUAUUUUCUCCCAUUCAGAUGUACACCUUUGGAUGCAUGCAAUGAAUUUUCUGCUUUCUGUGUAGUCAUUAGAGGGAGAGACCCCACAUGAGGAAAAUGACCAUCGCAAUAAGCAUGCCUAUUGGCUACCUUAAUUAGAAACAGGAACGUGGGCCUGAGACCAGAACAAUUGCACAGAGUCCUGCCCUCAAGAGGGUUGUCCUUAGAAUUUCGUAUUCUGUGGUUGUCAUCUUGAUAUUCUUAAUCUUUGGCUUUGUGUUUUGUAAAUAAAAUUUGAUGAGACAGGGAAGCAAGCACUGAGGCUGAGGGCUUGGAGAUUUGGUUUACACAGGGUCCUCUUCGGGACAUAUUCUUGGCCUUCCUACUCUCUGGAGUUCUGGCUCCUGCUCGGCCUCCUCCUCCUCCCUGCCCCCACCUAGCAACUGCCCCUGGUGGGGACCUAGGCACAGGCAUGGAGAUGGUCAGAUGUCUCAAGGCAGCAGCACCAUGGUGCAUUGGCGGGGUGACUUGGUGGAGGUGAGCCUCUCACCUGCCUUGACUGCAUGUUACAAGGGUGACAAUACCUAGGGGGUCAUCCAUCUGCCUGGGUCAGGGGAAGUGGAUCCAGGGAAGGGAGGGGGAUCAUGGUAGCCAGUGCACACGCUCAGGCUCUGAAGACCUCUGUGGGCUUGUGAGGGUCUGCACUGGCCCUGCAGGCAGUGACACUAAGUAGGAACUAUAAAACACCAUAACAGAUCGAAAGGGAGUGGAGUUGGGGGAGAAACGCUUGAUACUUUAAUUCCUGACACUGCUCCCUGCUUUCUGCACAGGGGCCCCCACAAUUGUACUUUGAACUGGGCCCGAAAAAUGAUAUAGCCAAGCCUGAGUGAGAAGCUCAUUUCUGGGAUUCUAGAGACUUGACUCAUUGUUUUUAAAUAGACAAACAAUAAUUGUAUAUAUUUAGAGGGUACAAUGUGGUGGUUGAAAUAUGUAUACAAUACAGAAUGAUGAACUCAAGCUAGUGGGAACAUUCAAAAUCGAUUGUCUCAGAAAUUUUGAAAUACAGAUUACAUUAUUAUUAAUUAUCUGACUUCAUUUUUAAAAAAAUGCUCACAGAUUGAAAGCAAAAACAAACAAAACACAAUGCUGAUAAAGACGACCUAUCUCCCCAGUGAAGGGGCAAGGGAAUAAAAAAGACAAGUUACUUUGACCGCAUGCCCUUUCCAGACAGGAACAGGGCUGGAGCUUCGGGGACACCACAGAAAGUCUGUUUUGUUGUUGUUGGGGACGCGGGAUGGUGAGCAAAGAACAUCUUUGUUUUAGAGAUGAGGGAACGUAGGCGCAGAAAAGUUAGCUGGCUCACCCCAGACACUGAGCAAGUGCCAAAUUUGAGUCGGUGGCACUAAAUCUUUACAAGGGGAGAAAAAUGCUCGGGAACCCUGGUCCUGACAAAAAUCAUUUUUAUUAGAAUGUCACUUAAAUAUGUAAAAACCUAAACCUAAGUGUGACCUCUAUAGCUGCAAAGCUUAUGCAACUGUAAACUCAAAAUAUAUUCGCACAUUAAAUACAAAUGAAACUACAAAGUUAAUUAAAUUCAAAUUAACAAAAAUACUGUAAUCGAG
ensembl:lncRNA